AGUCAGAAUUGCUAGUAAUGGCAGGUCAGCAUACUGCCGUGAAUACGUUCCCGGGCCUUGUACACACCGCCCGUCACACCAUGAGAGUUGGAGAUACCCGAAGCCUAUGAGCUAACUUUUAGAGGCAGUAGUCGAAGGUAGAAUCAAUGAUUGGGGUGAAGUCGUAACAAGGUACC
rnacentral:rRNA from 1 species